GUGGCCAUGGCGGAAUUGGUAGACGCACUAGACUCAGAAUCUAGUGAGGAAACUCAUGGAGGUUCAAGUCCUCUUGGCCACACCA
rnacentral:tRNA from 1 species